rnacentral:rRNA from 1 species
GAUGAACGCUAGCGGCAGGCUUAACACAUGCAAGUCGAGGGGUAUAGUUCUUCGGAACUAGAGACCGGCGCACGGGUGCGUAACGCGUAUGCAAUCUACCUUUUGCAGAGGGAUAGCCCAGAGAAAUUUGGAUUAAUACCUCAUGGUAUGUGAGAAUGGCAUCAUUUUCACAUUAAAGUCACAACGGCAAAACAUGAGCAUGCGUCCCAUUAGCUUGUUGGUAAGGUAACGGCUUACAAAGGCAACGAUGGGUAGGGGUCCUGAGAGGGAGAUCCCCCAAACUGGUACUGAGACACGGACCAGACUCCUACGGGAGGCAGCAGUGAGGAAUAUUGGACAAUGGGCGCAAGCCUGAUCCAGCCAUGCCGCGUGCAGGAUGACGGUCCUAUGGAUUGUAAACUGCUUUUGUACAGGAAGAAACACUGGUUCGUGAACCAGCUUGACGGUACUGUAAGAAUAAGGAUCGGCUAACUCCGUGCCAGCAGCCGCAGUAACAC